rnacentral:tmRNA from 1 species
GGGGUAGACUGGUUUCGACAGGAUAUUUCUGGGUAUGAAUGCAAGUGGUAGGAAUACCUAAAAUUCAAAUUUAAAAUAAAAUGACGAAACUUCAUAUAGUUUCGCUCCUAAUGCAUUAGCAUUUGCCUAAUAUAAGGUAACGGAGCACUCUGGUUUAUUUUUAUCUAUAGGAUAAAUUAAGGGUUUAUAUAUAUAGGUUAUAUUAAGAAAAAUCUUACAUUUUCUUGAUGAAUUAUUAGUAAGAUAGUUAAAGAGUUAGGUACGUUAUAGCCUUAUCUUUAAUGAAAUUAAAAAUCUAACUAAACUUGUAGAUUUUGUAUUACAAGGUAUCUUGGACAGGGGUUCAAUUCCCCUCUACUCCACCA